rnacentral:rRNA from 1 species
UUAGAUAGUAGAAGGAUAAUUGGGAGCAGGGGCAUGUAAGAACCGAAACUCGAGCAUCACGCUUUUCCAAGUGAAUAGCACAUGCAAAAACUUGGGCGCUGAGUGUUGAGCACGCGGUGAGAGUGGCGGACGGGCGAGUAACGCGUGAGCAACCAACCUUGCACUGGGGGAUAACGUCGGGAAACCGGCGCUAAUACCGCAUGACAUUACUGGAUCGCAUGGUCUUGUAAUCAAAGCUCCGGCGGUGCGAGACGGGCUCGCGUCCAAUUAGCUGGUUGGCGGGGUAAAGGCCCACCAAGGCGACGAUUGGUAGCCGAACUGAGAGGUUGAUCGGCCGCAUUGGGACUGAGACACGGCCCAGACUCCUACGGGAGGCAGCAGUGGGGAAUCUUGCGCAAUGGGGGAAACCCUGACGCAGCGACGCCGCGUGAAGGAAGAAGGCCUUCGGGUUGUAAACUUCUUUGAUCGGGGACGAAGCAGACGGUACCCGAGGAACAAGCCACGGCUAACUACGUG